UAGGGAAUCUUCCACAAUGGACGCAAGUCUGAUGGAGCAACGCCGCGUGAGUGAAGAAGGUCUUCGGAUCGUAAAACUCUGUUGUUAGAGAAGAACACGAAUGAGAGUAACUGUUCAUUCGAUGACGGUAUCUAACCAGCAAGUCACGGCUAACUACGUGCCAG
rnacentral:rRNA from 1 species